AACGAACGCUGGCGGCAUGCUUUACACAUGCAAGUCGAACGGUAACAGGCCGCAAGGUGCUGACGAGUGGCGAACGGGUGAGUAAUGCAUCGGAACGUGCCCAGUCGUGGGGGAUAACGCAGCGAAAGCUGUGCUAAUACCGCAUACGAUCUAUGGAUGAAAGCGGGGGACCGUAAGGCCUCGCGCGAUUGGAGCGGCCGAUGUCAGAUUAGGUAGUUGGUGGGGUAAAGGCCUACCAAGCCAACGAUCUGUAGCCGGUCUGAGAGGACGACCAGCCACACUGGGACUGAGACACGGCCGAGACUCCUACGGGAGGCAGAAGUGGGGAAUUUUGGACAAUGGGCGCAAGCCUGAUCCAGCAAUGCCGCGUGCAGGAAGAAGGCCUUCGGGUUGUAAACUGCUUUUGUACGGAACGAAACGGCCUGGGUUAAUACCCUGGGCUAAUGACGGUACCGUAAGAAUAAGCACCGGCUAACUACGUGCCAGCCGCCGCAGUAAGAC
rnacentral:rRNA from 1 species